UACGUAGGGUGCAAGCGUUGUCCGGAAUUAUUGGGCGUAAAGAGCUCGUAGGCGGUCUGUCGCGUCGGCUGUGAAAACUCGGGGCUCAACCCCGAGCCUGCAGUCGAUACGGGCAGACUAGAGUGCUGUAGGGGAGACUGGAAUUCCUGGUGUAGCGGUGAAAUGCGCAGAUAUCAGGAGGAACACCGGUGGCGAAGGCGGGUCUCUGGGCCGGUACCGACGCUGAGGAGCGAAAGCGUGGGGAGCGAACAGG
rnacentral:rRNA from 1 species